GACGAACGCUGGCGGCGUGCUUAACACAUGCAAGUCGAGCGAAUGGAUUAAGAGCUUGCUCUUAUGAAGUUAGCGGCGGACGGGUGAGUAACACGUGGGUAACCUGCCCAUAAGACUAGGAUAACUCCGGGAAACCGGGGCUAAUACCGGAUAACAUUUUGAACCGCAUGGUCCGAAAUUGAAAGGCGGCUUCGGCUGUCACUUAUCGAUGGACCCGCGUCGCAUUAGCUAGUUGGUGAGGUAACGGCUCACCAAGGCAACGAUGCGUAGCCGACCUGAGAGGGUGAUCGGCCACACUGGGACUGAGACACGGCCCAGACUCCUACGGGAGGCAGCAGUAGGGAAUCUUCCGCAAUGGACGAAAGUCUGACGGAGCAACGCCGCGUGAGUGAUGAAGGCUUUCGGGUCGUAAAACUCUGUUGUUAGGGAAGAACAAGUGCUAGUUGAAUAAGCUGGCACCUUGACGGUACCUAACCAGAAAGCCACGGCUAACUACGUGCCAGCCGCCGCAGUAA
rnacentral:rRNA from 1 species